GCAAACUUGGUCAUUUAGAGGAAGUAAAAGUCGUAACAAGGUCUCCGUUGGUGAACCAGCGGAGGGAUCAUUACCGAGUUUACAACUCCCAAACCCACUGUGAACAUACCUACUGUUGCUUCGGCGGGACCGCCCCGGCGCCGACUCAGGCCCGGAACCAGGCGCCCGCCGGAGGACCCAAACCCUGCUUUCUGCACGUAUUCUACUCUGAUUACAAACAAACAAUAAAUCAAAACUUUCAACAACGGAUCUCUUGGUUCUGGCAUCGAUGAAGAACGCAGC
rnacentral:misc_RNA from 1 species